GCAGAGACCUGGAUGUGGGAGGGCCGGAACUGUAUCCUAGAUACUUUUGGUGUAUAAUAUCUGUUAGUUCCAUUAUUUCCCUGUUUAGUUUUUGUCUGGAGGACCUGUCCAUUGAUAAAUUGUCAGGAUCCGAAAAUCCAUGAGUGAAGACCCAGACCCAGAUAGAAUGCAAAACCAAAGAGCAUUUAUUCUGCAGAAACAACCAGCAUGUGGGGUCAACCAUUCUCUAAAAUGGAGAUCCCAGACAAAGAUUUAUGUUAUUUAUAUGAGUACACUGUAGCUGUC